CCCUUAGAUGUCCUGGGCCGCACGCGCGUUACACUGAUGCAUUCAACGAGCUUAUAACCUUGGCCGAGAGGCCUGGGCAAUCUUGUUAACGUGCAUCGUGAUAGGGAUAGAUUAUUGAAAUUAUUAAUCUUGAACGAGGAAUUCCUGGUAAACGCAGAUCAUCAAUCUGCAUUGAUUACGUCCCUGCCCUUUGUACACACCGCCCGUCGCACCUACCGAUUGGAUGGUCCGGUGAAGCCUCGGGAUUGUGGUUCUUGCCGCUUUAUUGUGGCGUGACCGCGAGAACUUGUCUAAACCUUAUCAUCUAGAGGAAGGUGAAGUCGUAACA
rnacentral:rRNA from 1 species